ACUAAAAUCUCUCCAUAUAGCCUAUUCUCCAGUUUGAAAGAAAUACCGGUACGUUGAAUAAUGAUGGAUACUCAGAAAGUUCCUGCAAAUCUGUUUUCUGGAGUCUUGAGGUUUUCUUUAUGAAUAUGAUAUUGAAAGAUGAAAAAUGUGUCUCUCCUGACAUCUCUGUAAUGAACUGUUACGGGAUUUAGACAAUUAUGGUAACCAUGCGAAAAAG